AGCGCAGUUCCUCUUCAGUGUGAGAGUGUACCUGACUGGUAACGGGAGCUCUCUUUGGGUCUCUUUUCUAUCACGGCACUCUGUCGGUAGAGGAUGUCUGCACAGGUCCCCUGUGCUGUGGUACAACUCCAUAUGGUGUAGAGGACCGAGGGGUGCUGUGCUGUAACCAGACGUUGCACCGUGGGGUGGAGGCUGGGCACCAGUGCUCCCCAGGUGGCCACUUGUAUCUGCCGUCCCGUGACAUGGUGUGUGAGUCACACGUUCAUCUCGAUGAUCCAGGCAAACACUGCUGUGACCCUCAGGAUGAAAUCUGUUGCAACGGACUGAAGUGCUUUGCUCUUUUGGGUGGAACACUGCUAAGCUGUCCACCUCCUUGACAAUUCCCCGUCAGAAGAAGCGUAGAUGCAUCCUGAUGCAUGCAUCCUGAUGAUCACGUCUGGCUCUCCACCAGAAACCUCCUGCUCCGCCUGCCCUGCCGGUGGUUCCUGGUCCCCUGGCUGAUUCCAUCUCCCACGAGACCCCUCCACCUCCCUUGGACAUCGAGUGAAGCCCCGUCCAUACAGUCAGAUCCCUCCUGGACUCCCGAAUUUGUGGGGGUCGGCUCCAGUACCUGGUGGACUGGAAAGUGUACGGUCCAGAGGAGUGGUGUUGGUUUCGGUGGAUGACAUUCUAGAUCCCAACAUCAUCUGAGGGGGGGUUGGAGGGUACUGUCUUCUCCUGCUCACUAACUGGUAGACGUUGUGCCGGUUUACUAACCACAGGACCUGGAAACCCAUCUUUACGCACACCUGGCAACCCUCAUUACGCACACCUGCGUCUCAUCAUCAGUCACACUUAGACUUCAUAACUCAUCCUUUAUAUAGUACCCUUCUGUUAGUAGUCGUCAGGUAGUAAUAUUUAUGUUUCCAUGUCAGACGCUUCUCAUGUUUUGUGCCGUUCCAUGUUCAUUAUUAUUAAACUCACUAACUGCACUCGU